AGCUGCAAGACAGAACAAAGAACUCUUUAAUUACCUAAAAUUGUCACUAAUAGGUUAUGUUUCUAGCAGCAGGAGAUUUUCAGUAAUUUAAAACUUCAACUAUCCUUACUAUGUCACCCAUGGCUUUGUGUGAUGAAAGAAAUUAUUUGGCAGUCAGAAAAGACAUGAGAGAGAAAUAAGUUUUCUGCACACCCAAAAUUGCUCCCUGUUCUUGACGUCAUUUUGCAACAGUCAUGGUCAUAUGGGUGGUUUAGAAAAGACAAACUACUCUAUUAGGGGGAAAAAUGGCACAUCCAAGAGGAACUACAAAGAAGAAAUGAUACAGCCAAGAAAAACUACAAAGUCACAUCAAACCUUGAAGCUUUGGGAAGGAAAUUCAAGGACUUUAGGGCCCAGAUAGUCUUCUCAUUCAUCGUACCAGUGCUCAGAAGAAAAAAAAGAAAGGGAAAGAAAAAUACUCAAGGGAUGACCCGCCAAAGGGGAGAUACAUCCAUUUGGAACUGGAGGUUCCACAAAGGGACUGGCUACCCUUCCUUCAGCUACAUCUUUUUGAAUCUUCUGCCUCACGACGCCCUCCAUACCUUUGAUGGACUUUAAAUUACUUGCUGAAAUUGCAAAUCUACUACCCUGGACAGGAAUUCUGAAUCCUCAUGUAUAGCCAUUUGACAAAUAACUAGUGGCUUCAUGGUCAGGGUAAAGCUGCAGCCAGGCCUCCAGUACUGCCACGUUAAUUGGACUGGGGCCCUUUUGAAGCUGGAGCUGCCUCCACUGUUGGUCUUUUUGGACCACCUCCAUCUUUUCCUACACCUGCUCCAGGGUGACCUCAGAAACAGGAUGUGGUACUGUGAUUUCCCCCACAUAAAGAGCACAUGUGCCUGAAUCUGGAUGGCUUAUGGUUGCAGACACCCUUUGCAUUCAACUCCCAGCAAACUGGGUGGGGUUGAACCCCCUGGCUCACCGAACCAUGGGGCGAGUUAAAGUUAGCUGAUCUCUGAACC